CUCUGGCCAUUGCCAUCCGCCCAAAUCUACAGACAUCCCGCAUGUUCCCGGGCUCGUCUCCCCAAUACAGGGCACCAAGGACCCCGGGUGCAGCAUCUGGGUCCCCCUGCCCCGCCCUGCCUUGCGCCGCAGCCGCUUCCGUUGUCCUGCCAGGCUGUAGACUGCGCAGCCCUCCUGGAGACAGAUGGAAGCUCCUUGGGUCGACAGAUUACAGCUUCUGGAACCCCCUACUCCCUUCAACUCCGAGAUGGACACCCACUGUCCAGGGAGAGGAUGCCUGGAAAUAACAGCUGGGAUCUACAGUGGCCAAAGAGUUGUCUCCGUCUUGCUACAUCGACAAACUGGUGCUCCUGAGUGAGGAUUGUGCCCUGGGAUGGGGGAUUCAGUUUCUUCAUUUAUAGUUGGAAGUGGGUGAAGUGCCAGGAGCGACGGUACACUCCAGAGUGCUGUGCCCUGAUGGGCCUUUGAGUGGCCAGUGCAGUGGAUCAUCAGCCCUGUCUCCCAAGAGCUCCAGUCCCUUCUCCGGAGAGGAAGUGGGUCCACUGGCAGCUCAGGAGGCCAUAGCAGAUUGUGGGGCUCUGUGCAGUUGAUGUUAGUUAACCACUGGAUCCACGUGUUCACCGUGGCUUGCGCCCCUGCAUCCGAAAGUGAUCUUGGCUGCCGUGUCCUGGUCAUUGGUAGUGCAGGGAAAGGAUGCGGAAAGACGGGCUCCGAGCUCGGGGCGUCUGGCCUGGAGCUUUCCUACACUUGUGUCUUGCUCUGCAGCCUUACGGAAGUGUGGGUGGCGCUUUCUGGAAGCUGCACAAGUCAGUGCUGGGUCUUCGCAACUUGGUGUUCUGUUUCCAGAAACUUGGGGUGUUUGCAUGUGCUAGGUCAGCACAGAUUUCCAAAGGAUCUCUAGGAUUGUCACGUGUGCUCAACAGUCCUCCUCGGCUUUCCAGAAGAGGCUGGAACAGGGCCCUUGAAGAUGUUUGUGGACAUCAGAGGGCCAAAGACGACACAAAGUGAAACUGGAGACACCGCCCCCCCUUGGCAUCAUGAAACUGCCGAUGUUACUGGCUCAUGCAUGGGAGACACCAGCAUACAAAGUCUUGACACCAACACCUCAGAGGGCUGUGUUCUGUCCCCGUGACCAUCAUCUAGUGCCUGGAAAGACUAGUGACAAGAACUUGUUGCCAACUUCCUAUUACCUCCCUAACAGUUGUGCAAUAAACCCCAUAGGUUAAUUCA
rnacentral:lncRNA from 1 species